rnacentral:rRNA from 1 species
AUGAACGCUGGCGGCGUGCCUAAUACCUGCAAGUCGAGCGCACAGACGAGGAGCUUGCUCCUCUGACGUUAGCGGCGGACGGGUGAGUAACACGUGGAUAACCUACCUAUAAGACUGGGAUAACUUCGGGAAACCGGAGCUAAUACCGGAUAAUAUAUUGAACCGCAUGGUUCAAUAGUGAAAGACGGUUUUGCUGUCACUUAUAGAUGGAUCCGCGCCGCAUUAGCUAGUUGGUAAGGUAACGGCUUACCAAGGCAACGAUGCGUAGCCGACCUGAGAGGGUGAUCGGCCACACUGGAACGGAGACACGGUCCAGACUCCUACGGGAGGCAGCAGUAGGGAAUCUUCCGCAAUGGGCGAAAGCCUGACGGAGCAACGCCGCGUGAGUGAUGAAGGUCUUCGGAUCGUAAAACUCUGUUAUUAGGGAAGAACAAAUGUGUAAGUAACUAUGCACGUCUUGACGGUACCUAAUCAGAAAGCCACGGCUAACUACGUG